UACGAAGGGGGCGAGCGUUGUUCGGAAUCACUGGGCGUAAAGGGCGCGUAGGCGGCCCUCUUAGUCGCGUGUGAAAGCCCCGGGCUCAACCUGGGAACGGCGCGCGAAACGGGAGGGCUGGAGUUCGGGAGAGGAGAGUGGAAUUCCCAGUGUAGAGGUGAAAUUCGUAGAUAUUGGGAAGAACACCGGUGGCGAAGGCGGCGACCUGGUCCGAUACUGACGCUGAGGCGCGAAAGCGUGAGGAGCAAACAGG
rnacentral:rRNA from 1 species